UACGUAGGGGGCAAGCGUUGUCCGGAAUCAUUGGGCGUAAAGAGCGCGUAGGCGGCCCUGUAAGUCCGCUGUGAAAGUCAAGGGCUCAACCCUUGAAUGCCGGUGGAUACUGCAGGGCUAGAGUCCGGAAGAGGCGAGUGGAAUUCCUGGUGUAGCGGUGAAAUGCGCAGAUAAUCAGGAGGAACACCGAUGGCGAAGGCAGCUCGCUGGGACGGUACUGACGCUGAGGCGCGAAAGCGUGGG
rnacentral:rRNA from 1 species